GGUUAAGCGACUAAGCGUACACGGUGGAUGCCCUGGCAGUCAGAGGCGAUGAAGGACGUGCUAAUCUGCGAAAAGCGUCGGUAAGGUGAUAUGAACCGUUACAGCCGGCGAUGUCCGAAUGGGGAAACCCAGUGCAAUUCGUUGCACUAUCGUUAACUGAAUACAUAGGUUAACGAGGCGAACCGGGGGAACUGAAACAUCUAAGUACCCCGAGGAAAAGAAAUCAACCGAGAUUCCCCCAGUAGCGGCGAGCGAACGGGGAGCAGCCCAGAGUCUGAAUCAGCUUGUGUGUUAGUGGAACGGUCUGGAAAGUCCGACGGUACAGGGUGAUAGUCCCGUACACCAAAAUGCACAGGUUGUGAACUCGAAGAGUAGGGCGGGACACGUGGUAUCCUGUCUGAAUAUGGGGGGACCAUCCUCCAAGGCUAAAUACUCCUGACUGACCGAUAGUGAACCAGUACCGUGAGGGAAAGGCGAAAAGAACCCCGGCGAGGGGAGUGAAAAAGAACCUGAAACCGUGUACGUACAAGCAGUGGGAGCACCUUUAUGGUGUGACUGCGUACCUUUUGUAUAAUGGGUCAGCGACUUAUAUUCUGUAGCAAGGUUAACCGUAUAGGGGAGCCGCAGGGAAACCGAGUCUUAACUGGGCGUUAAGUUGCAGGGUAUAGACCCGAAACCCGGUGAUCUAGCCAUGGGCAGGUUGAAGGUUGGGUAACACUAACUGGAGGACCGAACCGACUAAUGUUGAAAAAUUAGCGGAUGACUUGUGGCUGGGGGUGAAAGGCCAAUCAAACCGGGAGAUAGCUGGUUCUCCCCGAAAGCUAUUUAGGUAGCGCCUCGUGAAUUCAUCUUCGGGGGUAGAGCACUGUUUCGGCUAGGGGGUCAUCCCGACUUACCAACCCGAUGCAAACUACGAAUACCGAAGAAUGUUAUCACGGGAGACACACGGCGGGUGCUAACGUCCGUCGUGAAGAGGGAAACAACCCAGACCGCCAGCUAAGGUCCCAAAGUCACAGUUAAGUGGGAAACGAUGUGGGAAGGCACAGACAGCCAGGAUGUUGGCUUAGAAGCAGCCAUCAUUUAAAGAAAGCGUAAUAGCUCACUGGUCGAGUCGGCCUGCGCGGAAGAUGUAACGGGGCUAAACUGUGCACCGAAGCUGCGGCAGCGACACUAUGUGUUGUUGGGUAGGGGAGCGUUCUGUAAGCCUGCGAAGGUGGCCUGUGAGGGUUGCUGGAGGUAUCAGAAGUGCGAAUGCUGACAUAAGUAACGAUAAUGCGGGUGAAAAGCCCGCACGCCGGAAGACCAAGGGUUCCUGUCCAACGUUAAUCGGGGCAGGGUGAGUCGACCCCUAAGGCGAGGCCGAAAGGCGUAGUCGAUGGGAAACAGGUUAAUAUUCCUGUACUUGGUGUUACUGCGAAGGGGGGACGGAGAAGGCUAUGUUAGCCGGGCGACGGUUGUCCCGGUUUAAGCAUGUAGGCGGAGGUUCCAGGUAAAUCCGGUACCUUUUAACGCUGAGGUGUGAUGACGAGGCACUACGGUGCUGAAGUAACAAAUGCCCUGCUUCCAGGAAAAGCCUCUAAGCAUCAGGUAACAUUGAAUCGUACCCCAAACCGACACAGGUGGUCAGGUAGAGAAUACCAAGGCGCUUGAGAGAACUCGGGUGAAGGAACUAGGCAAAAUGGUGCCGUAACUUCGGGAGAAGGCACGCUGAUAUGUAGGUGAAGCCCCUGCGGGUGGAGCUGAAAUCAGUCGAAGAUACCAGCUGGCUGCAACUGUUUAUUAAAAACACAGCACUGUGCAAACACGAAAGUGGACGUAUACGGUGUGACGCCUGCCCGGUGCCGGAAGGUUAAUUGAUGGGGUUAUCCGUAAGGAGAAGCUCUUGAUCGAAGCCCCGGUAAACGGCGGCCGUAACUAUAACGGUCCUAAGGUAGCGAAAUUCCUUGUCGGGUAAGUUCCGACCUGCACGAAUGGCGUAAUGAUGGCCAGGCUGUCUCCACCCGAGACUCAGUGAAAUUGAACUCGCUGUGAAGAUGCAGUGUACCCGCGGCAAGACGGAAAGACCCCGUGAACCUUUACUAUAGCUUGACACUGAACAUUGAGCCUUGAUGUGUAGGAUAGGUGGGAGGCUUUGAAGCGUGGACGCCAGUCUGCGUGGAGCCAACCUUGAAAUACCACCCUUUAAUGUUUGAUGUUCUAACGUUGGCCCCUGACCGGGGUUGCGGACAGUGUCUGGUGGGUAGUUUGACUGGGGCGGUCUCCUCCCAAAGAGUAACGGAGGAGCACGAAGGUUAGCUAAUCCUGGUCGGACAUCAGGAGGUUAGUGCAAUGGCAUAAGCUAGCUUGACUGCGAGCGUGACGGCGCGAGCAGGUGCGAAAGCAGGUCAUAGUGAUCCGGUGGUUCUGAAUGGAAGGGCCAUCGCUCAACGGAUAAAAGGUACUCCGGGGAUAACAGGCUGAUACCGCCCAAGAGUUCAUAUCGACGGCGGUGUUUGGCACCUCGAUGUCGGCUCAUCACAUCCUGGGGCUGAAGUAGGUCCCAAGGGUAUGGCUGUUCGCCAUUUAAAGUGGUACGCGAGCUGGGUUUAGAACGUCGUGAGACAGUUCGGUCCCUAUCUGCCGUGGGCGCUGGAGAAUUGAGGGGGGCUGCUCCUAGUACGAGAGGACCGGAGUGGACGCAUCACUGGUGUUCGGGUUGUCAUGCCAAUGGCAUUGCCCGGUAGCUAAAUGCGGAAGAGAUAAGUGCUGAAAGCAUCUAAGCACGAAACUUGCCCCGAGAUGAGUUCUCCCUGAGACUUUAAGUCUCCUGAAGGAACGUUAAAGACGAUGACGUUGAUAGGUCGGGUGUGUAAGCGUAGCGAUACGUUGAGCUAACCGAUACUAAUGAACCGUGAGGCUUAACCUU
rnacentral:rRNA from 1 species